GACAGUGUGGUAUGAUGGUUUGAACAUUGGAGUAUGACUCUGGAGUCCAGGGUUCAAAUCGCUGCUCAGCCA